AGUACAUUCCCCAUCAGUGACUUUUGUUUAUGUCUCAUUAGUUAGAAUCACAUCAUAUUUCUUUGAAUGACACAUUGACCAGUUGUUGUCACAGAGAAUGGAUCAUUCUGAUUGGCGUUCACUGGUUGUGAUUCAUCUCUUGCUACUUUGCCUUCCCUGAAAGAAUCACGAGGAGGGGUGCCGUGGAUGUGAGUCUUAGCAAGGAUAGAGGGAGUUAUGGCUGACAGGAGUGAUCAGAGGGAUGAACAAGCCACAGCCUCCUGGGCAGAAUUAACCCCUUUGGUGUCAUGGAAAUUAUCUUCCACAAAGGAGGAAACAUGUUACAUCAUAAAGUAGAAUGGCACCAUCCCAGAUCUGCAACCCAACACUUCAGCCAAGUACCAAACAGUUGCAGGUUAUACGCAGACAUCAAGGAAUACUCAAAAAACAAGACUCUCCAUCUGUUGUGCAUCCUGCAAGUCAUGCCCAGGGAUCUAGGGUUCUAGUUUUCAUGAGUUGUCAUCUACUCCGGGGUGAGCUUCCAGGGAUGCAGCUGUCUUCCAUGUUCCUGUAAGUCACAUAUUGUAGGAUAUUAUUUUAACUAGGCAAAGAUAUGUUGUUACCUUUGUUUAUGCUGCAUUUAUUUAAUUAUGUAAAGAUUUGUUGCAUUUGCUUCGCCUUGCCUAACUAAGGCAACUGAUUGGUCUAAUAAUUAGCUGAACAGCCAAAGCUAGGCAGUGAAAGAUUACACAGGGUUGGUGGGCAGAAGACAAUAAAUAGGAGGAAGAAUCUAGGUUCGAGAGAAGAAUGAGAAAAGAGAAUGGCAGAGAAAGAGAGGGACAGGCUUGGGGUUAGAAACCAGGCCACCAGCCAGCCAGAAAGGAGAAACAAUGAAAGUAAGAUAUACAGAAGAGAAAGGUAAAAAGUCCUGAGGCAAAACAGAGAUGAAGAGAAACACAUUAAAAUAAGAGCUAAGAUAAGGCCGAGCAUUCAUAACUAAUAAGAAGUGUUGGGUCAUGAUUUGGGAGCCAAUUGUGGCCUAAAAGAAAGCCUGCUACAGUAACAUCUCAUCCAUACUCCAGUAGGAAACUCCGGUAAACAUAGUUUUGUCAAGGGACUUUGGCAGUUUGUUGUAGAUUCUCUCUCUGGGUGAGUAGACUUACAUUCAUGUCUUUUCAGGAAUAGUGGCAUCCAAAACACCCGGUGUUUGUUCUUGGUCCGUGUUCCAUCCCUUGCCACCAUCUGCUUGCCUCUGCAUCAGUGUCCCCUUGGGUUGCAUCCUCUGACCUACCUUACUCUCUGGCUUCUGUAUCAGUUUGGGCAAUGGGAGACAUUGGUUAAAACAAGAUGGAUUGAGAGGGAAGUCCAGGCAUUUGCUCCUCCUUCUCAGUCCCUGCUUUGACUGUGUGCUGGGUUGGCUUCUCAUAUGGCUUUUAUGUUCUCUGGUUUCUGAGCAUGGCUUGGACCUACUGACUCUCUUCUGACAAAUGGAAGAUAACAAGAAGGUUUAGUUUGCACAAUGCUGUGGAUUUGUGUUGUUUAAAUAACACAUUGGAUGUGUUAUUUUGCUUGGUUGGUUAAGGUGAGCUGCUAUGGUAUAAGUAGACACCUUGGCAAAGAACAGAGGAUAUCCGCAGACUGUUCCAGGAAGGCCAGGAGUAUUUCAGUUUAAGUCUUUGAGGGACUGACUCUGCAAACAAUCGCACGAUUAAAUUUGAGCAUGGAAUGUUCUCUACCCCAGUUCUCCUUUGACUGCAGCGUUGUCAGAGACUGUGAGUCAGAGGACAGCUAAG